ACUUUGGUAUCAGAGCCGAGGACGGCUCUUGUCCGAUGGUGGGAAGGAUGUGGGCCCAAUAGUCCCACAUCGAAAAGACUCGUUCUAUAGCCUGACAUUAAUGUGAUAACCGCCCCACUCCCAAGAGAAACGGAGGGGGGGGCCAUUACACCAUCGUGUAGGCGUUCGUAACGCCUGAUGGUGGGCGGUUACAACCGUCCGCCUCCCCCAGUGAUCGAGGCUACAAGAAGCCCCGAUCGGCUAGGCCAUUUCACCACCCGUUCCUCCUCCUCCACUGUUUGUCUCCCUCUCUCACAAUCCUCUCCGAUUGGCAGGACCCGGUGUUAGACCCACGCCGCCGGAGUAAAGGGCCGUGUUGCUGGAGUAGGAGGCGGACGUUCUUCAAGCAGGUGAUCAAAGAUUUGUCACCCGGACGUAAGAAAUUGGAAAACAAAUUGCUAUGAAUAAGACUACUAGGAGCAGGGAGCUUGGUAUUAUUCAGGGUUGGGGUAACUGAAAAUGUUAUGUAAUAAUUAAAUUUUAGAAGCUCUGUACUGUUCCAACUUCAUGAAUAAUGUUAUGACAUUAGUAAAUGAAACUAUUUAUUUUUAUUAUGAAAUUUUAAGUGGCUUCACAUAA